rnacentral:misc_RNA from 1 species
GCCAUCUUCAAUGAGCAGUCGGGAGAACCAGAAGCACCAAGAGAGGCAUCAAGCAACUGAAAUAAUAUUUCAGAACGGUUGGGAAGAGAGGAAAUUUUGCUAGAGGCAGAGACCUCAACAAUUUGAGACCAGCCAGUUAACAUAUGAAGCUGAGCUGCUUGUUCUUCAUGAUUUUUGUUGUAUUUCCAACCCCAUCGUAACAGCUGUUGGACUGUAUCUCGGAUUUCAUUUAGCUCAACUUCAGUGCUGAAGGAGCUAUGCUGGGGAUUAAACAAGUUGUAUUUCUCCCAUAAUUUGUCACGAAAUGCAGCUAGAUCAAUUAAACGGUCUCCACGUUCUGAGUAGUAAUAAACACCACCUUUUUCAGAAGUAGCAGGAUUGGUAAGUAUAUCUUCAGCCAGAAACCCAUACUUCGCGCUUGAAACUGCUUGUGAAGAUUUCAACACAGUAUCAGGAGAUUUGAACUGGACAACUUCAAGCAACUCCAAUACCUUAGAUUUACUAAUCAUUCUGGCGCCGUUCACUCCAGGACUGAUUUGACUAUAGGGAGAAGAUACACCGAGAUCAACAUCGUGUUCGAAAUUUCCCUCUCCAAAUAGUUGAGAUAGAAUACUUUGACAAGCUUCUCG